rnacentral:rRNA from 1 species
CCCGCCCGUUUAGUGCCCGAAGUUAACGCAUUAAGCACCCCGCCUGGGGAGUACGCCCGCAAGUCUUGAAAACUUCAAAGGAAUUGAGCGGGCGGCCCGCACAAGCGGUGGAGCAGGUGGUUUAAUUGGAAAGCAACGGGAAGAACCUUAGCAGGUCUUGACAUCCUCUGAACACCCUAGAGAUAGGGCUUCUCCUUCGGGAGCAGAGUGACAGGUGGUGCAUGGUUCUCGUCAGCUCGUGUCGUGAGAUGUUGGGUUAAGUCCCGCAACGAGCGCAACCCUUGAUCUUAGUCGCCAUCAUUAAGUGGGGCACUAUAAGGUGACUGCCGGUGACAAACCGGAGGAAGGUGGGGAUGACGUCAAAUCAUCAUGCCCCUUAUGACCUGGGGUACACACGUGCUACAAUGGACGGUACAAAGAGCUGCAAGACCGCGAGGUGGAGCUAAUCUCAUAAAACCGUUCUCAGUUCGGAUUGUAGGCUGCAACUCGCCUACAUGAAGCUGGAAUCGCUAGUAAUCGCGGAUCAGCAUGCCGCGGUGAAUACGUUCCCGGGCCUUGUACACACCGCCCGUCACACCACGAGAGUUUGUAACACCCGAA